rnacentral:rRNA from 1 species
GACGAACGCUGGCGGCGUGCCUAAUACAUGCAAGUCGAACGCUGAAGGAGGAGCUUGCUUCUCUGGAUGAGUUGCGAACGGGUGAGUAACGCGUAGGUAACCUGCCUGGUAGCGGGGGAUAACUAUUGGAAACGAUAGCUAAUACCGCAUAAGAGUAGAUGUCGCAUGACAUUUGCUUAAAAGUUGCAAUUGCAUCACUACCAGAUGGACCUGCGUUGUAUUAGCUAGUUGGUGAGGUAACGGCUCACCAAGGCAACGAUACAUAGCCGACCUGGGAGGGGGAUCGGCCACACUGGGACUGAGACACGGCCCAGACUCCUACGGGGGGCAGCAGUAGGGAAUCUUCGGCAAUGGACGGAAGGCUGACCGAGCAACGCCGCGGGAGUGAAGAAAGGUUUCGGAUCGGAAAACUCUGUUGUAAGGGAAGAAAGAGUGGGAGAGUGGAAAGUUCACACUGUGACGGUAUCUUACCAGAAAGGGACGGCUAACUACGUG